CUAUAAUAAUUGUACCGAGCCUAGAGACCUACAGAGUUUCCAUGGUCCUAGGCCGUUUCAGGAUUCCUGAAACCGGGGUAUAUCUAGAAAUGGAUAGGCCUUCCAAAUGAAAAGGAGGAUUUAGAGCAUGGAG
rnacentral:ncRNA from 2 species